CCUACGGGAGGCAGCAGUGGGGAAUAUUGGACAAUGGGCGCAAGCCUGAUCCAGCAAUGCCGCGUGAGUGAUGAAGGCCUUAGGGUCGUAAAGCUCUUUUACCAGGGAUGAUAAUGACAGUACCUGGAGAAUAAGCUCCGGCUAACUCCGUGCCAGCAGCCGCGGUAAUACGGAGGGAGCUAGCGUUGUUCGGAAUUACUGGGCGUAAAGCGUACGUAGGCGGUUAUUCAAGUCAGAGGUGAAAGCCCGGGGCUCAACCCCGGAACGGCCUUUGAAACUAGGUAGCUAGAAUCUUGGAGAGGUCAGUGGAAUUCCGAGUGUAGAGGUGAAAUUCGUAGAUAUUCGGAAGAACACCAGUGGCGAAGGCGACUGACUGGACAAGUAUUGACGCUGAGGUACGAAAGCGUGGGGAGCAAACAGGAUUAGAUACCCUGGUAGUCCACGCCGUAAACGAUGAUAACUAGCUGUCCGGGCACUUGGUGCCUGGGUGGCGCAGCUAACGCAUUAAGUUAUCCGCCUGGGGAGUACGGUCGCAGAUUAAAACUUAAAGGAAUUGACGG
rnacentral:rRNA from 1 species